rnacentral:rRNA from 1 species
AGUGGCGAACGGGUGAGUAAUGCAUCGGAACGUGCCCAGUCGUGGGGGAUAACGUGGCGAAAGUUACGCUAAUACCGCAUACGAUCUAUGGAUGAAAGCGGGGGAUCGCAAGACCUCGCGCGAUUGGAGCGGCCGAUAUCAGAUUAGGUAGUUGGUGGGGUAAAGGCUCACCAAGCCGACGAUCUGUAGCUGGUCUGAGAGGACGACCAGCCACACUGGGACUGAGACACGGCCCAGACUCCUACGGGAGGCAGCAGUGGGGAAUUUUGGACAAUGGGCGCAAGCCUGAUCCAGCCAUGCCGCGUGCAGGAUGAAGGCCUUCGGGUUGUAAACUGCUUUUGUACGGAACGAAAAGGUUUGGCCUAAUAAGCUGAGCUCAUGACGGUACCGUAAGAAUAAGCACCGGCUAACUACGUGCCAGCAGCCGCGGUAAUACGUAGGGUGCGAGCAUUAAUCGGAAUUACUGGGCGUAAAGCGUGCGCAGGCGGUUAUGUAAGACAGAUGUGAAAUCCCCGGGCUCAACCUGGGAACUGCAUUAGUGACUGCAUAGCUGGAGUACGGCAGAGGGGGGAUGGAAUUCCGCGUGUAGCAGUGAAAUGCGUAGAUAUGCGGAGGAACACCGAUGGCGAAAGGCAAUCCCCUGGGCCUGUACUGACGCUCAUGCACGAAAGCGUGG